rnacentral:ncRNA from 1 species
GCUGGUCACCGGUGGUGGUCUACUGAGGGGAUCUCCCCACGGUGCACUUCUACUGUUGGCCAGU